AGAACAUAAAGUAUAUUCGAAAAAUUAGAAAACAAACCGUCAGAAGCUUCCAGCUCCUUCCCUAGAAGCUCCUCUAAAAUGCUAAUCAUCAUACACUUUCGUUUUUGUGAUUCAAGCUACAAUCAAGGUGAUUACACAUUGAUGAAAUCGAUCUCGUUUUCUAUCCGUUGAACCAAUAGAAACUAUCUGCCUUGUUGGUGGUGAAUUUUAGCAGAAACUAAAGUUUUGAUUUGGUACUAAUGGACAGGCCAAGCUCUCAGCAGGUGUAAGUAUACAAAUCAAUUGAAUUUACUUCGAACUUUAGCUUAUCAUAAUAGAAAUUUUACCUUAGCAGAUUGAACUUACAUGUAUUCUGUAAUGGAUCAUGGACUGUGAUACACAUAAUUCUAUUAUCUCUGUUAA